UGAUGGCGGCCGUGACGUUGGACGAGUCCGGGGGCGGCCUCCAGACGCCCGGAGGAGGGCUCAGCCUCGUCUGCAAGGCCUCCGGGUUCACCUUCAUCCAUUUCUGGAUGAACUGGGUGCGACAGGCGCCCGGCAAGGGGUUGGAAUUCAUCGCCAGUAUUAGCAACACUGGUAGUUACACAGCAUACGGGGCGGCGGUGAAGGGCCGUGCCACCAUCUCGAGGGACGACGGGCAGAGCACAGUGAGGCUGCAGCUGAACAACCUCAGGGCUGAGGACACCGGCACCUAUUACUGUGCCAGAGAUUUUGGUUCUGGUGUUGGUGAGAUCGACAGCAUCGCACAUUUUCCUGCUCCCACCCACCCCCACAUGUCCCACACCUCGCCCACCACUGACAGAACCCAUCCCAGAAUGUGCUGAGCUGUGGCCCACAUU